UUUCGCCUCGNUUCGGNUCCGAUUUAGCCUGCUAGUCGCACGGGCUUAGACCCGUGGCAGAUAGCUCAGUAACACGUGGCCAAACUGCCCUAUGGAUGGAGACAACCUCGGGAAACUGAGGCUAAUAUCCAAUACAGCUCCCAUGUUGGAGUGCAGAGAGCUAGAAAUGCUCCGGCGCCGUAGGAUGUGGCUGCGGCCGAUUAGGUAGACGGUGGGGUAACGGCCCACCGUGCCGAUAAUCGGUACGGGUUGUGAGAGCAAGAACCCGGAGACGGAAUCUGAGACAAGAUUCCGGGCCCUACGGGGCGCAGCAGGCGCGAAACCUUUACACUGCACGAGAGUGCGAUAAGGGGACCCCGAGUGCGAGGGCAUACAGUCCUCGCUUUUCUGUACCGUAAGGUGGUACAGGAAUAAGGGCUGGGCAAGACCGGUGCCAGCCGCCGCGGUAAUACCGGCAGCUCGAGUGAUGACCGAUUUUAUUGGGCCUAAAGCGUCCGUAGCCGGCCACGUAGGUCCGUCGGGAAAUCCACUCGCUUAACGAAGUGGGCGUCCGGCGGAAACCACGUGGCUUGGGGCCCGGAAGAACUGAGGGGUACCUUCCGGGGUAGGAAUUGAAAUCCUGUAAU
rnacentral:rRNA from 1 species